ACGCGGUGCCCGACGGCAAUGCUGCCCCCUAACGGGCCUCAAAUUUGCCUUCGGGCCGCUACCGCGCCCCUUGAUUUCCAUUCGUUUCGAUUUUGAGUGUCGACCACGAUUAUUUCGCUUCACGCAACGAUCUUUUAGCGACUGAUCGUCGAUCAACUCCGACGGUAGACGGAAAUCAGCGAAGGCCAAACAAUAUCGAAAUAGUUACAUUGUUGUAGUCCAGCAGCUACAUACGUCCACGUGUUUGCGAAUAUUUGCGAAGUAUCCAAGUAAAUUAAAAAUUAGUGGAGAUAAGUAAAUCGAAAUUAUGUGAACUAUACUAAUAUGUACUCUUUAAAAAAUAUCGACGUUUGUGUGAACUUUAUGUAUACAACUUUAAUACAUAUGAACAAUUACGAUGAAUGUAUUUCUCAGUGGGCUUUGUUUUGAUUUGCAGUAUGUUAUGUUUAUUAGAUACUGUAGACGAAAAAAUCAUAGAAGGAAUAAUAUAUAUUGUGGUUCGUCUAUAUUUCUUGAUGAAAAGUGCACGCGUACAAAUGCAUCGUUGGUGAACGUUUGUGACAUUUCGAAAAGGCGUAUACCCUCUUAACUCUAAAAUCUCCUAGAGCGAAUUUCGACAUGCUCUUAUGGAUUUACCGAGUAAUCAGGUUGUACGUAAGGCUACAUUUUUUAUUUUCUGCCUCGAAGCACACAGGGCUAUUAUUUCACAAAAAACAAGACAAAAUUAUAUUGGAAGAGCAAUACAUUUGAAGGGCAGGGUAUUGAAAUAAAGGACUAUCCUCUUAAGUAAAGGACUAUCCUCUUAAAUAAAGGAUCAUCCUCUUAAAUGAAGGAUGUAUUACUGUAGUUCUACGUCCCAUCGUUUGUUAACAGAAAUGGAAUUAGGACGGAAUUUUCGAACUUAAUCUCCUCCAACAAUGUUAUUCUUUUUUCUGUUAUACUAAAGCAGUAAACUGCACAAUGGAAUUAAGUUAAAUUACGUUGGAUAUUAAGGGAUC